rfam:Schistosoma rodhaini strain Burundi genome assembly, scaffold: SROB_scaffold0009823
GCACUGAUGUGGAGUCGCAUAAUAGGACGAAACGGCCGUCCAGUGC